GACGAACGCUGGCGGCGUGCUUAACACAUGCAAGUCGAACGGAAAGGCUCCAGCUUGCUGGAGUACUCGAGUGGCGAACGGGUGAGUAACACGUGGGUAAUCUGCCCUGCACUCUGGGAUAAGCCUGGGAAACUGGGUCUAAUACUGGAUAUGACCUUUCUCCUUAUGGGGUUUGGUGGAAAGUUUUUCGGUGUAGGAUGCGCCCGCGGCCUAUCAGCUUGUUGGUGGGGUGAUGGCCUACCAAGGCGACGACGGGUAGCCGGCCUGAGAGGGUGAUCGGCCACAUUGGGACUGAGAUACGGCCCAGACUCCUACGGGAGGCAGCAGUGGGGAAUAUUGCACAAUGGGCGGAAGCCUGAUGCAGAGACGCCGCGUGAGGGAUGACGGCCUUCGGGUUGUAAACCUCUUUCAGCAGGGACGAAGCGUAAGUGGCGGUACCUGCAGAAGAAGCACCGGCUAACUACGUG
rnacentral:rRNA from 1 species